AGUAAGGUCAGCUAAACAAGCUUUUGGGCCCAUACCCCAACCACGAAGGUUUAAAUCCUUCCUUUACUA
rnacentral:tRNA from 1 species